rfam:Ovis aries breed Texel chromosome 12, whole genome shotgun sequence.
GCAUGAGUGGUUCAGUGGUAGAAUUCUCACCUGCCACGUGGGAAGCCCAGAUUCAAUUCCCAGUCCAUGCA